AUUGACCGCUAGCGGGAUGCCUUACACAUGCAAGUCGAACGAGUGGCGAACGGGUGAGUAAUGGAUCGGAACGUGCACAGUAGCGGGGAUAACUACGCGAAACGUAGCUAAUACCGCAUACUAUUGGAGCGGCAGAUAGCGGAUUAGCUAGAUUGUGGGGUAACGGCUAACCAAGGCGACGAUCAGUAGCUGGUUUGAGAGGCGGACCAGCCACACUGGGACUGCGACACGGCCCAGACUCCUACGGGAGGCAUCAGUGGGGAAUGUUGGACAAUUGGGGCAACCCGGAGCCAGCCAUCCCGCGUGUGCGAUGAAGGCCUUCGGGUUGUAAAGCACUUUUGGCAGGAAAGCGGUACCUGCAGAAUAAGCACCGGCUAACUACGUGCCAGCAGCCGCGGUAAUAC
rnacentral:rRNA from 1 species